UACGUAGGGCGCAAGCGUUGUCCGGAAUUAUUGGGCGUAAAGAGCUCGUAGGCGGCUUGUCACGUCGGGUGUGAAAGCCCGGGGCUUAACCCCGGGUCUGCAUUCGAUACGGGCAGACUAGAGUGUGGUAGGGGAGAUCGGAAUUCCUGGUGUAGCGGUGAAAUGCGCAGAUAUCAGGAGGAACACCGGUGGCGAAGGCGGAUCUCUGGGCCAUUACUGACGCUGAGGAGCGAAAGCGUGGGUAGCGAACAGG
rnacentral:rRNA from 1 species